rnacentral:rRNA from 1 species
AACGCUGGCGGCGUGCCUAAUACAUGCAAGUCGAGCGAACAGACGAGGAGCUUGCUCCUCUGACGUUAGCGGCGGACGGGUGAGUAACACGUGGAUAACCUACCUAUAAGACUGGGAUAACUUCGGGAAACCGAAGCUAAUACCGGAUAAUAUAUUGAACCGCAUGGUUCAAUAGUGAAAGACGGUUUUGCUGUCACUUAUAGAUGGAUCCGCGCCGCAUUAGCUAGUUGGUAAGGUAACGGCUUACCAAGGCGACGAUGCGUAGCCGACCUGAGAGGGUGAUCGGCCACACUGGAACUGAGACACGGUCCAGACUCCUACGGGAGGCAGCAGUAGGGAAUCUUCCGCAAUGGGCGAAAGCCUGACGGAGCAACGCCGCGUGAGUGAUGAAGGUCUUCGGAUCGUAAAACUCUGUUAUUAGGGAAGAACAAAUGUGUAAGUAACUAUGCACGUCUUGACGGUACCUAAUCAGAAAGCCACGGCUAACUACGUG